AUAUUGGGUGACGUCCAGCCCAGUGUUUCUGUACCUUCUGAUGUUUGUCCAAAAGGGCUGAAUUGUGGGACAUCCAGCGACAGAUUGACUCUCUGUGAGCCCAGAAGUUCAGAGGCUCCACAGGGACGUGCUCCUCCUGAGCUUUAACACCGCAGUGCGCUACAUGAUCAGGGAGGCAUUCCGACGCUGGAAACCUCUCGGCCUAUCAGACUGUGAGUGAAAACAUGAGCCACGCCCUCCCUCUCUUGAGUGACAGCAUGAUAGGAGGAGCCAGUUUCCUUUCUGUUCCUGAGCUGCUAGAACCGGCCAGUUUUCAGGAACCCAGAGGAGAUCAAAGAGCACGGUGGGAGCAUGGCGCUGGGCCUGAUUCUCUCUGCAGGCUGUCAUUAGAAAGCCAAUAAACUUCACCACAGCUAGUCUCUUAUAUUUAGGAUAUUGAUUUUCAUCUCAACAAGAACAACAACAAAAUAGUCCUCUCUGAAAUGCAUGGGAUUCACAUGACUUCACAUGUCAUUAAGAACUGUGGAAACGUCGAUUGAGGAGCAUUUCAUCCAGCGGUGUUGAGCGUGAGAUUGAUGGACAGGUAAAUAUUUCAUGCUACUCUUCUAAAAAUAAAGGUCCCAAAAGAGACAGUACCACCUUUCAAUGGACAGUUCUUCAUAAAGAACAUUUUCCACUUUAAAGGUUCCAUGGAUGUUAAAGGUUCUUAAUAAAAAUUUCAGUGCCAAUAAAGAACAUUUAUUUUAAAGAGUAUGGGGUUAUGAUAUAGGUUUAUAAUUAAUAAUGGACUGUUAUAUAAACACUGAGUGUUUUCUAGGUGAUGUUCUCCAGCGCUCAUCUCCAGGAGUGUUUGACUGAACUGGCUUUUCUGCAAUGAAUCAUGAGCGGAGUGUCUUCAAGCGAUAUUCCCAGUUUUAUGAGUCAAUCCUUCAACAGCAGGAACAACUUCUUUACCAGAGAGAGCAGACACAUUUGCGCCGUAAACUCGAGCACAGCCGAGAAGGUUUUCGCCGUGUGGCCAUGCCAUCCAGCUUGUACACUGACUGGCUUACCUGUUUUUCAGCGUUGAACAUUAAUGAGUGCACGUCUUCUACAUUGAGGGUUAUGUCACAGAGCAGUUCCCUUCUUCUGAGCUUGUCAAACUCAUGGAAGAUUGUGUCCUUGUGUGUUUUUGAAUGCAGGACGAGAACAGAAGACAGGGCAGACAUUAUGCUGUUACAGUGAGCUUGAGAGGAAAAAGUUGAAACUGUCUUUUAGUUGAUAAAUCUGUUUACUAUAUGCAAAUCAAACUAUACACACUCUUGUGAAAGUUUGCUUAAUUGUAUUGAACAUGGACUUGAAGUGUACUUCAGAUUGUAUAAGUAUAUUUUUUUAAAAUCUUUCCUUGCAGACAAUUUAAUACAUAUGAAACAAUAGUCAACCUAAAGGUACAAUUUGUAAGAUAUUUGCAGUAAAAUAUCCAAAAACCACUAGGCUGGUGUUAUAUAUUUUGUCCCGCUGAUUACUAACAAUAUCUCUAAUGUUUUCUAAUGUCUAAAGUCUCUAACUACUUGUAAAUCAUGAGAAAAUUCCCAUUUUAAACAGUUUCACAGGGCAGUGCAGUCGCCUGUCAAUGACGUUAGUUACCCUUACCGCCUUUACUGAUGUAGAAACCACAUGACCACCAUAGACAGUAAAAGAUGACAACAGUGUUGUAAACAUAUGCGGAAGUAGCUUCGCGACAAACUUCAACUAGAAAGAGAUGCCGAUCUCGCUUGUGUUUUACUCGACUGGUGAGGUGUUUUGAUUCACUUCUACAGAAAACGUAUGCUAUUAUAACGAUCAACAAAAUUAGUGUUAUGGGCCAUACACGCCAAACGCGGGGCAUCGCAUCUCUAGACCUGCGUGAGGACGCGUCUGAUCAAGUCUGUGCAUUGACUUUGUAUAUAAUCCACUCGCGCAAAUCGUUGAACUCGCGUUAAAUCCAUGAUUUAUCUUUCAGUCUGAUUGAUCAUUCCACGCUCUUUCUUAGCAUCAUCAAACCACGUGAUUGUUAUUGUUUUGGUUGUGCGCCCUCUAGUGGCAAGGCCUACAACCUGUACCUUUAAAGGGAUAGUUUUUAUUUUUUCAUCAUUGAGCACAAGAGAAUAUAUUUUGAAGAAUUGUAGUAACCAAAAAUGUUUACAUUCCCCAAUGACUGUUUGGUUACCAACAAUCUUCAUAAUACAUUUUUGUGUUCAAAUUCUAUUUUAACAGCAUAUUACAUAUUAUAUAUUAAAGUUUGUUUUAAAUCAUGUUUUAAUAAUAUUGAAUCAUGCUAGAAAGAAGAAAGACUUGAUACUGAAUAACAUACAAAAGCAAAUAAGUUAAUAUUUAUUCAUUUACAUUUAUUCAUUUAGCUGAUGCUUUUAUCCAAAAGCGUACAAAUGCUAUAUAUGUCAGAGGUCGCACGCCUCUGGAGCAACUAGGGGUUAAGUGUCUUGCUCAGGGACACAUUAGUGUCUCACAGUGGAUUCGAACUAUAUUUAUAUUUUUAAUUUAAAUUUAUAUAUUUUACAUUUUAUAAAUUGUAACUUCAUCAUUAAAAAUGCAGAAUUAAAGAUAUAUAUAAUACAUGACACAUUUUCAAAAGAAAUUACAUUGAAGUGUAUUUUAGUUGAAUGCUUGUCAGCCCAUUCAGCAGUACAUUUUAAGCAUAUUUUAAAAACAACAAUUAAAUAACAUAUUAAGAUGCAAUUAAGUUAGCAAAAAGCUCUCUAAAAUUUAGCUUAUUGCAUUUCUUUUACAUGUUAAUGCAUUUUUUAUACAUUUCAAACAAAAUGCAAUCCUGUCCUUGACCCAUCAGAACAGAUCAACACAUUUAUUAGUUAUUACCAUCCAUGCACCAUGCAUGCAUUAUGUAACGUUAGCCUAAAUACGAUAUGGUACAUGGAUAUGGUAAUCAUUCAGAACCAAUGUUAUUUCUAUAUUUGGACCCAAACCACUAUAUAAUCCAAUAUUUAUUUGAUAAUUUAGUUCUUGUGAAUCAUUUUAUAGAAAUUUCAGCAAGCGCAAGCAUUAAUGAUUCAUAAGACACAACUCCACGCGCAACCUGAGCUGUAAACACAGUUUGGUUUAGAGCAGAGGAUGUUCUGUACUGCAUCACACAUUCUGUGCACAGUAGGUCACGCGCGCAGUGUGAAUCUUCAUGUAUAUCUGUGUCAGAGGUCUUCGAACACAGUAAAAAAUGAAUACAAUGCUUUAAGCCCAGCGCCAUGUGUAGCAACAUAGUUGCUUCUCUUUCUCUUCUAAAAAAGACUCUCGCUGAUUUGAAAGUUACAUCAUUUUAUCAGCAAAACGCACUUCAAAGAAUAAUUGCACUGCCCCGGCCCGGAGGACUAUAAUAUACGAUUAAGCUUUCAGGACCCUACCUUAAAGUAACCGUCUCAGACAGGCAAAUCUCGCGAGAAUUGCAUCGUGUGAUAGAAAGGCAAGAUGUGAAUACCAAAACUGAUUAUUUUAUGUUUUUAAUCCACCACUUUCAAAGUUUAUUAUUAUUAUUAUUUUAAAUAACUUUACAUAGAAUUUAAAGGCAGGUGCCCAUUUUUCAGGUAUCACUGCUGAAGUACGUUCUGGGAUAUUUUUUUUAUUUAAUUGUUGGUCUCAAUGCGCCCCCUGGCGGCACAACCGUGGGAACAACAACUUUUGUCACCCAGUGUAUUUGCAAACAGCGCCACUGUUGUGUUUCUUUUACUGUCUAUGGUUGUGCUGCUAACCAUGGUAACUACUGUACUCAUAUUAAAAUGUUUUAUAUUAGUAUCUGCGCUUCAACAGUGCUUUAAAAAUUCAAAAACGACAAGUGAAACUCCAAUCCCCAUGAUGCUUUUGGAUGAUGAUUUUUAAAUAGGACAGUCUAUCCUGCAGCGGAUCUUAGUAAGCUGAUAGUAAAUAAAUGUGUUACCUAAAUGUGCCCCUGCUUUAACAUUCUGUAAAAUGUAUUUGAAAUAUUACAGUAGUAUCUGCCAAUGCACAGUGCUUGUUCUUUUUACCUUGAAUAAACUUGUCUUUGAUUUAUUACAGUAACACUAUCUGUACAUGUUAUAAAUAUUUUUAAUCUGCAUUGAGGGAAUGGACAAUGGACUUUAUUCUUAUUACUGGUAUGGCAAGUGUAGGCAUGAUUUAAUGUAUAUCCAGUUAUUUUCACUUUAAUGGAAAUGAAAAGAAACCAGGAGCCUGAUUUAAAAAAAUAACAAAGCUAAUUUUAGAAGAAAAUUUCAGAUGGCACUUGGAGGCUUUUUCACCGGAAUUAUUCAUAUAUAUAUAUACAUUUUGAUAUAUUUACAACAGGAAAUUAAAAAAAUAUCUUCAUGGAACAUGAUCUUUACUUAAUAUCCUAAUGAUUUUUGGCAUAAAAGAAAAAUCUAUCAUUUUGACCCAUACAAUGUUUUUGCUUUAUGAAACAGACAGUUCCAGUCCUUGAUUCUGAUUGGUUGAGCGGUGUUAUGAAUUCACUGUCAACCAAAUAAACUACAAAUAUACCCGUGCUACAUUACAUACUGUAAUGAGUCACAUAUUAUUAUUUAAACCUAUUAUCUUACAUUUCCAGCCUUUGCAAAUUAUGCAUGCUAAUUCUUAGAACUGUAUGUAGUCAAAUGACUAAACCAUAUGGAAAUAAACGAAUUAGGGCUUUUGACUUUACUAGUUUUUAAAACACAUUUGUCUCUUAAAAUCCAUUUAUAACCAUCACAGUUCAUUCACACCCACUUGCAUUAGUCCAUAAAAUAACAGAACCCUUCAACCUCUCAUAACAGAAAGUUACAGAUUAAAAUAGGUAUGAUAAAGGUUACAAGAAAAAAAUUCUAUAUUACAGAAGGAAAUAAAUAUGCUUUGAAAUCAGAACGUUAACAAAAAAUAUAAGACAAUGCAGCGUACAGAAAACAUGCUUUUUUUUAGCUUGGGGAGAUUUUGUAAUAUAUAUCAAAUAUUAAUAAUAUACAAAAGUAAAAAUAAAAUUACGGUCUAUCCAAUAUAUCCAAAGCAUAUUACACAACAAAUGUAUGUGUUGCAUUUAGACCAUUACAGUUCAAAAACAAAUCACUCAUCAGUGACUUCAUUCUAAACACAGCCACACAUGAAAGUCAAUCUAUUUCAGUUUCUACAGUGCUGUCUAAACCCUAAAAGGACAGAAAAAGUCAGGUAAGGACAAAUGCAAGCUGGAAAAACAUUCAGCCGAUUCAUCAGGAAUCAGUUCAGUGUGCUUUCGAUCAUCUGUCGCUCUGUAAAGCUGC
rnacentral:lncRNA from 1 species